AACAGCUGUUUCCUCUGGCUUUGUGGGUGGCAGCUGCUGCCUGCCCACCUCCCUGGAAUUGAUGGGCGGAGGGGUGUGGGUGGCAGCUGGGAAGAGGAGGACAGAUCAAGGACGAAGGGGCACCUGAUGUCCCAGGCUGCCUCAGAUCCCUUUAUAAAGGGGAGGGUGGUCUUGAACUUCUGAUCCGGGUGCUUGCUGUCUUUUCCCAACUGCUAGGAUCACAGGUCCAAUUCUGGCAUUGUUGGCUCAAUCGAUACGUGUUUAUUGAACACCCUUGACGGCAGCCCUGGGGUCUCCGGGGGUGCUGGAGACACUGAACAGCAAGAGCACCCUCGGUUCCUGGAAAUCAUAAUUGCUCGUUCUUCUUAUCAGAGGCAGGGCCCCAGUGACCUUCCUCGCUACCCCCCCCCAAGGCAAUGAUGGAGCUACGUAGUGAAAAGCAGAGAGAUGUAUUCGCUUCGCUGUGGCCACAGUGAGAAGGGUGACAAGUAAUGAGGUCCAGGGACCCCCCCCCCCAAUCCAUCUUCAGACUGAGGUUGAGGUUUGAGAGAGAUGCACAGCCAGGUUGUCCCACCGUGUGCUGUGCCGUGUGUCACUGACCCAGACCAGUCUGGGCUCCAGUCUGUCCUGUGUAGAAUUUUUCCCUGACAGACAAGUACCCUCUCUGGCUGUCAGCAGGCUUCAGCUUUUUUUCUUCUCUGAGCAUGAGACUCCUGUCGGAGGGGAUUCCGAUUCCUGGGGGAACCUUUAUCUCAACAGUCUGAUAGCCAAAGGGAUGGGCUCUGUAGAGUCCCUAGAGAGUAUAGGCCAGGAUGGUUUUGUUCUUGCUCCAAGCACAGACCACGCCUGUGAACUCGUUUACUAUUACAGAUGGGGAAACUGAGGCAUGGAGACACCUCUAAGCAACUAAUUAAAGUACAGAGUUGAGAAGGCCAUGAGGAGGGUCCCUCAGAGGUAGUAACUCAUUCAUUCAUUCAUUCAUUCAUUCAAGCUUCAGUCAGCUGUAGUGGAGCAUGCCUAGAGUCCCAGCUGCUCUAGAAAGAUGGAGCAGGAGAACUGUUGGAGCCCAAGAGUUUCAAGUUGGCUUAGGCAACAGAGCAAGACCUGGUCUCUAAAAUAAACAAA
rnacentral:lncRNA from 1 species